UUUCUCCUUUAAGGAAUGAUUAAUGGCAAGAAUUCUUGGCUCUUGACUUUGGUAAACAGGAGAGAGCACUUUUCUACAGCCUCCCAGUUAGGUCAUUUUGCAAGCCAUGAAGUUACUAGGAACCCACGUUUUAAAUCUUGCCUCUAUUGCUUGAAACCUGUGUGAGCAGAACAUGUUCCGAGACAUUGCUGUGUCUCAGUUUCCUCUUCAGUGAAAUGGGAGCAAUCGUGCCUACCUCACACGUGGUGAUUCGAUGAGGUCAUCCAUGCCAGAUGACACAACUUGUUAGCAAGGGUGUCUGUCUAGUCUCGUCAGAAAACCGUCCAGGGAAGUCUACGUGUCUUAAGUGGUCUGACUUCACCCCUAAUUGCAGUUCAAGCUGCUGUCGUCCGCAGGGCACUUCCCUGGGAUGCGUGUAGGGAAGUGUGCUAUCUCCCACCAGGUUCGAACAAAAACACCCAUGACCCCCGUCGCGGCUGGCAGCAGCUCUCACAGCCGUGGGGCCACCCGCUUAGGAUGAAGCCAGCCGGGUGGGUGUGGGACAGGGAGAAUAGGAAAGGCUUGCAUUGCUGGUGGCUGUGCUGGGUCACUUAUCAACCGGCCCUGAUACUCUCCCUCCCGCUGCACUUCCGGUUAUGUGUCAUAAUAAGAAAUAGCCUAUUUCUUUAUUGCGUGAGGAAGUCUGAGUGCAGGUUAAAAGCCCCCCAGUGAAUACAUCUAGUUUCCAAAAAUCAUUACAACUUUGGAUUUUAUUUAGCUCCUCUUUGAUUUAUCCACUCUUCUUUUUUAAAUUUUUUUUUUAAAUUUCUAUUUGAGAGAGAGAGAGAGAGGAGAGAACAUGAGCGGAGGGGGCAGAGACAGAGACAGAAUCUGAAGCAAGAAUCUGAAGCUGACAGCUGCGGGCUGUCAGCACAGAGCCCAAUGCAGGGCUUAGACUCACGAGUGGUGACAUCAUGACCUGAGCUGAAUGGAGUUGGACGCUUAACCGACCGAGCCACCCAGUGCACGGAGUUGGGUUCAUCACACUCCUCAGCUCAUGGCCCCUGAGAGGAUUGAAGGAAGGUUCUCAGUUUAAUAUUCUGAGGUAAACCAGCCCAUAAUUCAGAUGGUUGGCCUCUCGAUGGUCCUCAUCUUUUCUGUUUUCGUCCGUAUUCUUAAACAUGUGAGAUAACCCAAAAGUAUUUAGACUAUUGGCUCUGCCUUUAGUGAGGUGGCCCCGAGUCAGAACAAGGUCUACUCUUCCAGAUCAUCAGAUCUUCAAAGCCCCGAGUAUCUAAUAAUCACCUUCUAGUGUACUUCGUGGUCUGAUUCGCUGCAUUCAUUAUAAGUAUGGGCGACUUUACUGUCCUAUCACUAAAUAGUGUUCAUCUGGCUUGAAAAAAAAACUCGAGGCUUUUCUGUAACUAAUUAGCGAUUGUAAAUAUGCCCAUCUCCCACUCUUUUAAAAAAAAUUUUAAUGUUUGUUUUUUUUUUCUGAGAGAGAGAGAAAAACAGAGCAUGGAGCAGGGGAGGGGCAGAGAGAGAGAGGGAGACACAGAAUCUGAAGCAGGCUCCAGGCUCUGAGCUGUCAGCACGGAGCCGGAUGUGGGGCUUGAACUCAUGAAUCGAGAGAUCAUGCCCUGAGCCGAAGUUGAACGCUUAACAGACUGAGCCACACAGGCGCCCCUCCCACUCUUAAUAUAGACAGUCAUAUAUUCAGCAGUGACAAUAGUACUACUUACUUCUUUCCAAGUGUGUAUUUAUUCCCUCAUUUACAGAUGCAACAGACAUUUGAGCACCUACCAUGGGUCGCAUCGUUUACCAAAUGUGGCGGCCAUUUGGAAUCCACUGCAUCCCUUCCCUUCCCUAUUCAACAUGUCUAUAGUGCCUCCUGCUCUCCUGAGACUGCUCCCAGCUCUCAGACCCCAUGGCAUCCUUACCUUGCACCAUGCCUCAGUGCUGCUGGGUUCUGUCGAUCACCCCUCCCUGAACUGCUUCCCUUGACCGCUAAUUUUUGCUAUCCUUCCCUCUGAUGACUUAUCUCUUAGAUGGAAUUCUUCAGACUUCUGGCCUUGGUACUCUUUCUUUCUGAAGCUAUAUCCCUAGCUGGUUUGUCUCAUCCUGUGUGUCCAUGACUCUCACAUCUGUCUCUCCAGGCUGACCUUUCCCUGGAGAUCUGUCCUCUGCCUCCACUCUACCUCUGGGGGCCACUUCUCAGUCUUUAUCUGAAAAAUGAAAACGUCAUCCUCCCCCAGCCCCCUCUUUUCCCGUAUUUUUGCCCUGGCUAAUGGAGCUCAUCACUAAAGUCAGCUGAUCCACGUGGGGUGCAUCCACAAGACAGAGGCUGGAGAAGAUUCUUGCACCUCUGGUAACUUGCUUCUAUUGACCGAGGUGUGGGCCACAGAGUUGUUCAGAGUAAAAUGCUGAACGUUGGUCUCUCCUUAUACAUAAGAAUGAUUGUUCCCAAAGAACAUGUCUCCUUAGCUUGAGAUCUUUCUGGAUGGACAGAAAAAGGGGUGGGGCUAAGGCCGCUUUGUCAACGGUCCAUGGGUGGUUUGCUUCUCUGGGUGACCUCUGUCCUGGAUGUCAAGGAAGAGGAAUAUUUGGGAACCAGUCCCGUUGUGGCUGUUCCUGGGAGUUUAGUCAGAUUAAGCACACUCAGAAGACGAAAACGGUGGGUUUUCAGGAGAGCUCUUGCCUCUGUGGCCUCAUCUGUGGGUCCCCCAGAGGAGCCAUUCCAAAUAGCUUCUGGCAGCACAGUUAUACGGGCUGUGCUGUGCUUUAGUGCCUUUGCACAAAUUGGAGUCUGUGCUGACAACGGUCGUUCAUUCAUCGGUCCCUCAAAUAUAAAUGGAGAGAUGACUUAGCAGCCCCACUCCUAGGUAUAUACCUGAAAUAAUUGAAAGCAGGGACUCAAGACGAUACUUCUACACCCAUGCUGAUAGGCACCCUUUUCACAGCAGCCAAAAGAUGGAAGCAGGCCAAGUGUCCACCGACAGACGAACGGACACACAAAAUGGGGGCAGGGGGACGUACACACAAGGGGAAAUUAUUCAGUCUUAAAAAAGAAUGAAAAUCUGAUACAUACACAACAUGGAUGAACCUCGAAAGCCUUAUGCUAAGUGAAAUAAGCCAGACAAGAAAGGAAAAGUAUUGUGCAAUUCCAACUUACAUGGGAUAUGUAGAAUAGGCAAAUUCAGAGAGACAGAAAGUGUGUAGGGGUUACCAGGGGCUGGGGGAGGGGAGGGGGGGAGCUAUUGCGUAAUGGGUACAGAGUUUCUGUGCAGGAUGACGAAAAGUUUUGGACACAGUGGUGAUGAUUGCACAACACUGUGGAUAUAAUUAAUGCCCCUGAAUAGAACACUUAAAAAUGCUUAAAAUGGCAAAUUUUGGUAUAUAUAUUUUGCCACAAUAAGAAAAUACAUAAACGGAGAGAGAGCGUGCGCCAGGGUGCAUUCACCAAUGUGAAUUUCUAGGGCAGGAACCUUGCCUGAUCUGACUGUGUAUCCUCUGAGCCCAGCACACAGGAAGCGCAACUAAGAAGGACCUUGAGGUUGGGUCUUGAAAAACUGAGAGAUGAGAGGCAGUGGCAUGUAAGUACAUCUAAUCUUUCUAUUUUGUUAUCCUGGAACUUAGGUACUGUGCUGAUUAGGUCCCUUUUUGCUCUAGAAAUUGUCCCCUUCUGGGUGGUAGGGGCGGAGAGAAGGAUUGGCCAUGGCUCCGUGAAGUGUCGUCUGGUGACAAGCUUUGGACACACCUGGAGGAUACAGGGCAUGGUUUGUUGAGGGCACAUGCGGGGAUUUGGAAAGUCAAGUGAAGAGGGGCUGGGGAUGUCUCGAUUCUCAGCUCAGAGCUUUGAGGUAGAGAGGCCGAGGGCUCCUGGGCAGGGGAGUGCUAUAGGAGAGUGUGGGUUGAGAGAGGUGGCCUCUGGGGACCAGAUGCACUCUUCCUGUGCAGGCUGGGCUCUUCCAGGCAGCCUUCAGCAGCCACACGUAGCCUUGUGGCUUCAGCACACAGCUAGGCACGGCCCGUGCAAAGGUUGUGAUUAUGUGGAUCAGAACUGGCUUUUCCCUGGGAGGAGGGGAGGGAUGUCUCCUCUUUUUCUUCUUCAGUUUUUCCUGAAAAAAAGAAAACAACAACAACAACAACAACAAAAACCAGCCAAACCCAAAAAACAAGGAAGUACUCCUCCCUGUGUCCUUCAAAGCUCUGUGGCAUCUUCAGAUCUGGGUACUUGAAAGCUAAAGCUGGUCAUAAUUUCCGAUGGACAUAAUGUGCAUUUGAAAUUCUUUUCCACAUCAAAUUAAAUCUGUCUUGGACUGAU